GACGAACGCUGGCGGCGUGCUUAACACAUGCAAGUCGAACGAUGAAGCUGGAGCUUGCUCCGGUGGAUUAGUGGCGAACGGGUGAGUAACACGUGAGCAAUCUGCCCUUGACUCUGGGAUAACUGCGGGAAACUGUAGCUAAUACCGGAUACGAGGCUCGAAGGCAUCUUCGGGUCUGGAAAGAAUUUCGGUCAAGGAUGAGCUCGCGGCCUAUCAGCUUGUUGGUGAGGUAAUGGCUCACCAAGGCGACGACGGGUAGCCGGCCUGAGAGGGGGACCGGCCACACUGGGACUGAGACACGGCCCAGACUCCUACGGGAGGCAGCAGUGGGGAAUAUUGCACAAUGGGCGAAAGCCUGAUUCAGCAACGCCGCGUGAGGGAUGAAGGCCUUCGGGUUGUAAACCUCUUUUAGCAGGGAAGAAGCGAGAGUGACGGUACCUGCAGAAAAAGCACCGGCUAACUACGUGCCAGCAGCCGCCGUAA
rnacentral:rRNA from 1 species